GCAAUUCCAACACUUCGGGAGGCCAAGGUGGGAGGAUCGCUUGAGCCCACGAGUUCAAGACCAGCCCUGAGCAAAAGAGUGAGAUACUGUCUCUAUAAACUAAACUAAUUAAUCAUUUAAAAAUAAAAUAAAAGUUUCUGGAUUGUAGAUUCCUUCUUUAACUCUUCAGCUGUGCUGCCUUAGUUAAGACCUUAGGUAUGUCCUUGUGCUCAUUUUUCUCACCAGCCAGGGGAUCUGCUUUUCUACUUACAGAUUGUUGCCAAUGCCAAAGGCGCUGUGACUGGGGCAAAAGAUGCUGUGACGACUACUGUGACUGGGGCCAAGGAUUCUGUGGCCAGCACGAUCACAGGGGUGAUGGACAAGACCAAAGGGGCAGUGACUGGCAGUGUGGAGAAGACCAAGUCUGUGGUCAGUGGCAGCAUUAACACAGUCUUGGGGAGUCGGAUGAUGCAGCUCGUGAGCAGUGGCGUAGAAAAUGCACUCACCAAAUCAGAGCUGUUGGUAGAACAGUACCUCCCUCUCACUGAGGAAGAACUAGGUAACUGGAAUUUUAUCUUGAAAUACUGUUUUAUAUUAAAUCUUUCUUAAACAGCUUCAUUGACAUAUACUCUCAUCUUGAGUCUAAAUUUACACAGUUGUGCAAGCAUCACUGCAAUCCAGUUUCAGAACACUUCUGCUACCCCAAAAGAUCCUCAUGCCUGUUUGCAGUCAGUCCUUUUUAAUUUAAUUUAAUUUUAUAGAGAUGGGAUCUCACUAUGUUGCCCAGGCUGAUCUCGAACUCCUGGGCUCAAACGAUCCACCUGCCUUGACCUCCCAAAGUUCUGGGAUUACAGAUGUGAGCAACCACUAAUCUUUUUGCCUCUAUAGAUUUUCCUUCCUAAAGCAAUCAUAAAGUUCACAUUGAAUCGUACGUAGUAAGUUUUGAAACCUUAGCAAAAAUUGGCCUUGAAAAAUAUUUUCUGUAAAUGGAUAGUCUUUAAUGGAUUGCUUUAUAAAAUCCUCCUUACAAAGAAUCAUCAUUAGGUAAUGUGUGCCAGGUACCAUGCCGCUCAAGUUCACUCUAGGCUGGGAGCAAUGGUGCAUGCAUGCCUACAAUCCCAGCACUUUGGGAGGCUAAGACAGGCAGAUCGCUUGAGUUCAGGAGUUUGAGAUUAGCCUGGGCAACAUGGCGAAACCCUAAAAAACACAAAAAUUAGCUGGGCAUGGUGGCUUGUUCCUAGAGUCCUAGCUACUCGGGAGGCUGAGGUGAGAGGAUCAGUUGAGCUCGGGAGGUUGAGGCUGCAGUGAGCCAAAAUUGUGCCACUGUACUCCAGCCUGGGCAACAAAGCAAGACCUGUUUCCAAAAAAAAAAAAGCAGUUUACUCUAGUGGGAGAAACGUGUAGAUGCAUGCAGUGUGUAUCAGAUACAGUAAUAUGUUCAGGGUAGUCAAGUCCAGCAGCAGACGUGAGCAGUCUUGGAAAAAUGACUGCAUGAUUGCUAAGUGAUUGGGUAGAAGUAAGAAAGUCAAGACCCAGGUUAGAGUCCAGGCCUUAUCACUUGUCACUGUGAUCCCUUAAGUUUUUUUGUCUCUUAUUUCUAACUUCAGAAAAAGAAGCAAAAAAAGUUGAAGGAUUUGAUCUGGUUCAGAAGCCAAGUUAUUAUGUUAGACUGGGAUCCCUGUCUACCAAGCUUCACUCCCGU
rnacentral:lncRNA from 1 species